rnacentral:rRNA from 1 species
AUUGAACGCUGGCGGCAGGCUUAACACAUGCAAGUCGAGCGGGGUGAUGGUGCUUGCACUAUCACUUAGCGGCGGACGGGCGAGUAAUGCUUAGGAAUCUGCCUAUUAGUGGGGGACAACAUCUCGAAAGGGAUGCUAAUACCGCAUACGUCCUACGGGAGAAAGCAGGGGAUCACUUGUGACCUUGCGCUAAUAGAUGAGCCUAAGUCGGAUUAGCUAGUUGGUGGGGUAAAGGCCUACCAAGGCGACGAUCUGUAGCGGGUCUGAGAGGAUGAUCCGCCACACUGGGACUGAGACGCGGCCCAGAUUCCGACGGGAGGCAGCAGUGGGGAAUAUUGGACAAUGGGGGGAACCCUGAUCCAGCCAUGCCGCGUGUGUGAAGAAGGCCUUAUGGUUGUAAAGCACUUUAAGCGAGGAGGAGGCUCUUUUGGUUAAUACCCAAGAUGAGUGGACGUUACUCGCAGAAUAAGCACCGGCUAACUCUGUGCCAGCCGCCGCAGUAA